CAGCAGCCACGGUAAUACGAAGGGGGCUAGCGUUGUUCGGAUUUACUGGGCGUAAAGCGCAUGUAGGCGGAUCGAUCAGUCAGGGGUGAAAUCCCAGAGCUCAACUCUGGAACUGCCUUUGAUACUGUCGAUCUGGAGUAUGGAAGAGGUGAGUGGAAUUCCGAGUGUAGAGGUGAAAUUCGUAGAUAUUGGGAAGAACACCGGUGGCGAAGGCGGCUCACUGGACCGACACUGACGCUGAGGCGCGAAAGCGUGGGGAGCAAACAGGAUUAGAUACCCCUGUAGUCCCUGUCUCUUAUAC
rnacentral:rRNA from 1 species